AGGUUACAUUAUUUUUUUCUUAUUAUUCAAUAGAAAAAAAUUAGAAAACAUAAUAAAAUAGAGAAAAUAGAGAAAUGGAAGGAAAAGAUGCCACAUCAAUGCUCUUAUGCUUUCCUUUAUUUAUAUAUAUAGAUAUAUUGAUAUUGAUUAUAUUAUAUUAUAUUAUAAUUUAUUAUAUGCGAAUUAAUAUGAGAAAUGACAUGUUAAGACCCCGUUGAUGAGCUAGGGGCAUUUUAGUAAUUUUGACCCGAGAGGGGUAAAACUGUGAAUUUAGUUUAUUUACGUGCUUAUGAACUAUAUUAUUAUAUAGUAUGCCUGUUUUGUCUUUCUUCAGGUGUGUUCUGACAAAUCGGCGCGGUAUAGUCACAACCGCGUAUUUCGGGCCGAACCGGGUUCGGGGCCGAAAUACAAUUUUGGGAUUUUUUAUUAGCAUUUUAAUAAAGUGUGAUUAAUCUGAAAUUUAAUUGGGUAUAUUUAUGUUAGAAAUGACUAUGUUAUCCUUGGAAUGCUUUUAUGUGUUAUUUGUACCUAGGGGCAUUUUGGUAAAUUGGCCUUUUGGAUUAAUUGCAACAAAAAGGAAUUAUUUUACAUUUUAGAAAGAAAAUUCUGGGUUAUUUUCUCAGCUAGUCUUGGCUGAAUCCUAUUCUCCCUCUCCCUUCAAUCUUUUCACUUCAAAUCUUCCUCUCUUGUGUGUUGUUGAGCUUGUUGGAGUUUGGGGGAUUUUGGUGUGCUUUGAUUGUGAGAACUUUGAGGAUUACCGACACUUGGUCAGGAGCACCCAGGGAUUUAGAAUCUCCAUAUUUGCGGGACAUCAGGAAAGGGUAAAUCUGUCUCUGAUCAGCCAUGAGUAUGGGAGUUGGGCGAUGUAUGUACAUGUUCGGGCCACACUAGACCAAGCGGGUUGGGGUCUACCAGUGUUGAAACUUUUGUAACUGUAUUUUGCCGCUUAGGUCGGCUAAGGAGAAAAGACUUGUAAUAUUUUGUAAAAUGAUUUUUGGGAUCCCGAAACAUGUAAGUUUUGUUUGUAAGGUUAAAAUUAUUACAGGUUUAUUUUCAUUCCA